rnacentral:lncRNA from 1 species
UUAUGCAAAAUGUGUAUUAACAAUGCAUAUGUUGCACUACUUAUACAGAUAUUGCACUAUUUUGAAGAGAUAUUGAAUAUGCUACACUACUUAUACAGAUAUUGACUAUAUUGCACUAUUUUGAAGAGAUUGUUGCACUACUUAAUCUUUAUUUUUUUUAUUUUCUCUUGAAUGAGGUUUCUUGUUUUACAAGAAAGGUACAUGUACAUAAUUAUUGCUUAGCAGUUGUCAUUUCCAAGAAGUUUUAUACAUAAUGGCUUAGCAGUUGUAUUUUUCUAGACAUUUAAAGUAUAUAUUUUUUAUGAAUUUUGAAAGAGGGGUAGUUUGGUCAUCCUUCUGAAAAUUCGGCCCGAAUCUGCAAAAACUAAAAAUGUAGCCCACUUUUGCAAAAGCGCAA